rnacentral:rRNA from 1 species
AGUAAAUAGAUACCCCGGUAGUCCACGCCGUAAACGAUGUCGACUUGGAGGUUGUGCCCUUGAGGCGUGGCUUCCGGAGCUAAACGCGUUAAAGUCGACCGCCUGGGGAGUACGGCCGCAAGGUUAAAACUCAAAUGAAUUGACGGGGGCCCGCACAAGCGGUGGAGCAUGUGGUUUAAUUCGAUGCAACGCGAAGAACCUUACCUACUCUUGACAUCCAGAGAACUUAGCAGAGAUGCUUUGGUGCCUUCGGGAACUCUGAGACAGGUGCUGCAUGGCUGUCGUCAGCUCGUGUUGUGAAAUGUUGGGUUAAGUCCCGCAACGAGCGCAACCCUUAUCCUUUGUUGCCAGCGGUUAGGCCGGGAACUCAAAGGAGACUGCCAGUGAUAAACCUGGAGGAAGGUGGGGAUGACGUCAAGUCAUCAUGGCCCUUACGAGUAGGGCUACACACGUGCUACAAUGGCGCAUACAAAGAGAAGCGACCUCGCGAGAGCAAGCGGACCUCAUAAAGUGCGUCGUAGUCCGG